rnacentral:tRNA from 1 species
GGAAGCGCAUGGGAUCCGGUGAUCCUCCCGGUCUUCAAAACCGGCGCGAGGCAUCUUCGCGAUGUCUUGGGUGUGUUCGACUCGCACACGCUUCCGCCA